AACGAACGCUGGCGGCAUGCCUAACACAUGCAAGUCGAACGAGACCUUCGGGUCUAUUUGCGCACGUGUGCGUAACGCGUGGGAACCUGCCCUUAGGUUCGGAAUAACUCCCCGAAAGGGGUGCUAAUACCGGAUAAUGUCUUCGGACCAAAGAUUUAUCGCCUUUGGAUGGGCCCGCGUUGGAUUAGCUAGUUGGUAGGGUAAAAGCCUACCAAGGCGACGAUCCAUAGCUGGUCUGAGAGGAUGAUCAGCCACACUGGGACUGAGACACGGCCCAGACUCCUACGGGAGGCAGCAGUGGGGAAUAUUGGACAAUGGGCGAAAGCCUGAUCCAGCAAUGCCGCGUGAGUGAUGAAGGCCUUAGGGUUGUAAAGCUCUUUUACCCGGGAUGAUAAUGACAGUACCGGGAGAAUAAGCUCCGGCUAACUCCGUG
rnacentral:rRNA from 1 species